UACGUAGGGACCAAGCGUUGUUCGGAUUUACUGGGCGUAAAGGGCGCGUAGGCGGCGCGGUAAGUCACUUGUGAAAUCUCUGAGCUUAACUCAGAACGGCCAAGUGAUACUGCAGUGCUAGAGUGUGGAAGGGGCAAUCGGAAUUCUUGGUGUAGCGGUGAAAUGCGCAGAUAUCAAGUGGAACACCUGAGGUGAAGACGGGUUGCUGGGCCAACACUGACGCUGAGGCGCGAAAGCCAGGGGAGCAAACGGG
rnacentral:rRNA from 1 species